CCUACGGGUGGCUGCAGUAGGGAAUUUUGCGCAAUGGGCGAAAGCCUGACGCAGCAACGCCGCGUGAUUGAUUAAGCCCUUCGGGGUGUAAAGAUCUGUCAGAGGGGACGAAACUUGACUGUACCCACAGAGGAAGCACCGGCUAACACCGUGCCAGCAGCAGCGGCAAGACGGAGGGUGCAAGCGUUGUCCGGAAUCAUUGGGCGUAAGGGGUUCGUAGGUGGCAUAUUAAGUCUGGUGUUAAAUGCCGAAGCUCAACUUCUGUUCGGCACUGGAUACUGGUAAGCUUGAAUGCGGUAGAGGUAAAGGGAAUUCCUGGUGUAGCGGUGAAAUGCGUAGAUAUCAGGAGGAACAUCGAUGGCGUAGGCGCUUUACUGGGCCGUAAUUGACACUGAGGAACGAAAGCCGGGGUAGCAAAUGGGAUUAGAUACCCUUGUAGUC
rnacentral:rRNA from 1 species